GCGCGAAAACUUUACAAUGCGAGAAAUCGUGAUAAGGGAACCCCGAGUGCCCGUAAAUUCGGGCUGUCCAUCAGCGUAAAAAACUGGUGAAGAAAGGGCCGGGCAAGACCGGUGCCAGCCGCCGCGGUAAUACCGGCGGCUCGAGUGGUGGCCACUAUUACUGGGCUUAAAGCGCCCGUAGCUGGAUUGUUAAGUCUCUUGGGAAAUCCGCCGGCUUAACCGGCGGGCGUUCAGGAGAAACUGGCAAUCUAGGGACCGGGAGAGGUGAGAGGUACUCCAGGGGUAGGAGUGAAAUCCUGUAAUCCUUGGGGGACCACCUGUGGCGGAGGCGUCUCACUAGAACGGCUCCGACAGUGAGGGACGAAAGCUGGGGGAGCAAACCG
rnacentral:rRNA from 1 species